rnacentral:tRNA from 1 species
GGCAAGGUAGUUUAUUUUAAAAUGUUUGUUUUACACACAAAAGUUGAGUUUUUUCUAUUGUCA